rnacentral:lncRNA from 1 species
AGCUAAAUCCCCGCCCUCCUUUUUUUCCUUUUUAAAUGGAGACUUAAGAAGUGUGCUUCUCAGAGUCAACCCCAAGUGUAUCUUCCCCCCCAUCCUUGCAGCUGGGCCAGAACCCAGCUCUACUACUGAGCUACAUCCUUUCGUAUUUUAAGGCCUUUUAAUUUAUUUAUACAGUCCUUUUUGUUUAAGUUACCCAGAUGGAACUGGAACUCGAGAUUCUCCAAUCUCAGCCUCCCCGAGUGCAGAGAUUACAGGUGUGAGCCACCUCCCAGCUCCCGUGUAUCUUGUCUGGUCUUACUAUGCAGUUCAGGCUGGCCUUGAACGCACUAUGGAGCCCUGGCUGGCCUCCACCUCAGGUGAUCCUCCUGCCUCAGCCUCCAGAGUGCUGGUAUCAUAGGUGUGUGCCACCAUGCCCAGCUAGACAUGUGACACGGAUGAACCUUGAUAGCUUCCUGACAGGACCUCGCUGUGCAGUACAGGCUGGCCUUGAAUGCUAGCCUCGAACUCGUGGCGAUCCUGCCUCAGCCUGCCUCAGCCUGCCUCAGCCUGCCUCAGCCUGCCUCAUCCUCUUGGCUCUGAUUUGCUCCUGUACCCUUGCUGCUGCACAUCCAUCCGGGUCGACCCCCCGCUACCCCAGUCAUUCACAGAUUUCCUCCACAGGAGUUCUGAUCACCCCCACCCCCCACCCCGUCCUUGAGCAGCAGGCCGGGGGCUGUUUCCACGGGGCAAAGGGACCAUAAAGGGCCGUUUUAACCACGGUCUGCUCAGGACAGGCACAUGUACCGAGUGCGGCCGUCAGAGCCCCAGCGAGGCAGCAGCACUUCUGUUUCUCCAGAAGCCCAGGCAAGAGGAGCCGGCAGCCCGGGGUCUGGGUCCGAGCUCGGCCCACCGGAAGGAG